rnacentral:rRNA from 1 species
UGGGGAAUUUUGGACAAUGGGCGCAAGCCUGAUCCAGCCAUGCCGCGUGAGUGAAGAAGGCCUUCGGGUUGUAAAGCUCUUUCAGUUGGGAAGAAACGAUUGCAACUAAUAAUUNGUAAUUAAUGACGGUACCGACAGAAGAAGCACCGGCUAACCACGUGCCAGCAGCCGCGGUAAUACGUAGGGUGCGAGCGUUAAUCGGAAUUACUGGGCGUAAAGGGUGCGCAGGCGGUUUUGUAAGUCAGAUGUGAAAUCCCCGGGCUUAACCUGGGAAUGGCGUUUGAAACUGCAAGGCUAGAGUGUAGCAGAGGGGAGUGGAAUUCCGCGUGUAGCAGUGAAAUGCGUAGAUAUGCGGAGGAACACCGAUGGCGAAGGCAGCUCCCUGGGCUAACACUGACGCUC